AGCAUUUGUUUGAAGUUUUUAUGAACAUGUGAUCAAAAAUUUAUAGGCAAGUGCAAAAUAAAUCCUUUUGCAAAUUUAGAUUCAGUGUUCAGCAUGAGUUUCAUAAGCAUAAGAGGGCAGAUG